rnacentral:rRNA from 1 species
AAAAACAUAGUUAAAAGUAGUAAUUUUUAAUUAUUCCUGCCCAGUGUAUUAUAUAAAUGGCCGCAGUACUUUGACUGUGCUAAGGUAGCAUAAUCAAUUGGCUUUUAAUUUAAGUCUAGAAUGAAAGGAUUUAUGAGGAUUUACUGUCUUAAAUAUAAACUAUUGAAUUUAUUAAAAAAGUGAAAAUACUUUUAUUUUUAAAAAAGACGAGAAGACCCUAAGAAUUUUGAGAAUAUAUUAUAUUUUAAUUAUUUCUUUUUGUUGGGGCGACAACAGUGCAAAAUAAAUUACCUUAGGGAUAACAGCAUAAUUUUCAAAAGUUUGUGACCUCGAUGUUGGACUAGGAACUUAAUAGCUAGCAGUUAAAAAAGAUUGUUCUGUUCGAACAAUAUCUCCUAC